UAUACUGCGUGUAGGUAUCAGUGCAUGC
rnacentral:sRNA from 1 species